UACGAAGGGGGCUAGCGUUGCUCGGAAUCACUGGGCGUAAAGCGCACGUAGGCGGAUUGUUAAGUCAGGGGUGAAAUCCUGGAGCUCAACUCCAGAACUGCCUUUGAUACUGGCGAUCUUGAGUCCGGGAGAGGUGAGUGGAACUGCGAGUGGAGAGGUGAAAUUCGUAGAUAUUCGCAAGAACACCAGUGGCGAAGGCGGCUCACUGGCCCGGUACUGACGCUGAGGUGCGAAAGCGUGGGGAGCAAACAGG
rnacentral:rRNA from 1 species